rnacentral:lncRNA from 1 species
UUCAUGGACUGUGCUGCUCUUGUGCUUCAACAGUUCAGAGUGGGGUGUGGCACAGAGGCCAUAUGCUUUGUGUCCUUGUCAUUUGAGACAGUUUCACUCCAUAGCCCAGGCUUCGAUGGAACUCACUAGAUAGAUAGUCCAAGUUGUGCUUAAAGCUCUGGCUGGCCUCCAGCCUCAGCCUCCUGAGUAUUGGGAUUACAGGCUUUAGCUACCAUGCCGGGUAUAUGGAGACCAUACAGUCUGCAAAGCCUUAAAUAUCAAUUGCAGUUUUCUUCACAGAGGAAGUUCACCCAACUGAGUCAGAUUGUCGUGUGUUUUAAUGAAGAGUUUAGAAAAUUCAGGAACCAUUAUUUAAAAAAAAUAAAAUAAAAAGCAGGUGACAUUAAAAACCUUUGGGUUAGUUGUUAAGUUAGAACACAUCUUAGUGAUUCAUCAGAAACCCAGAAUGGCCUCUUUCCUGAGAAGCGGUCCUAUUAGCCCAUUUACAGCUUCUGUAUUUUCAUAGAAACUGGGUACCACACUUCAGUGUAAGUCUGUAUUUAGAGUUAAUACAAUACCUUCUCAGGAGGAAGAUUAAAAAAAGGGGGGCAGAUUUGAAGUCUAUUGCCAGUGUCCUAUAAUGAGGACCUGCAAUUUGUACCCCUGAUUAACGGGAAAUCCUUCUACAGUUGGUGAGGCUAUAGGGCAGAACGUUGUUACACAGACUUUCCAGGUGUGGUCUGUGAUCUCACUGUUGUUGUACAGCCACUUUGAUUCUGCUUUGGGCUGUGUGGUCACUGCAGUUACCUUUGCUCAUUGUGACUUCCCAAAGGCUUCCAGCUCUCUCAGGAGCACCAGCCUCCUCUCCUCCUGGUGCCAGUGACUUUUGUGCUGGAAAAGCAAAGUUCUUGAAAUAUCGACCUCAUUGCAUCACAGCUAGACCUCCUCCUUAUUCCCUCCCUGUCAUGGAUAGCAUGUGCCAUGAUUGGUCUGCUGUACAUUGUGUGUGAGCUGGCCUUCCAUCUAUUUCCUUUUUAAAAAAUCUUCACAGAGUGACUUGCCCCUAUAAAGCACUGCUUAUAUUCCGGGAUUUCAGGGAAUACGCAUCCUUGAAUCUUUUCCCAGGCAGAUCUGGUGGCCUGCAUGAAUAUGCUUCCAAAUUC